rnacentral:rRNA from 1 species
GACGAACGCUGGCGGCGUGCCUAAUACAUGCAAGUUGAACGCUAAAGCUUUAACUGGUGCUUGCACCGACUUAAGUUUUUAGAGUAGCGGACGGGUGAGUAACACGUGGGUAACCUGCCCAUCAGAGGGGGAUAACACUUGGAAACAGGUGCUAAUACCGCAUAAUUCCUUUUACCGCAUGGUAAAAGGCUGAAAGGCGCUUCUGGUGUCACUGAUGGAUGGACCCGCGGUGCAUUAGCUAGUCGGUGGGGUAACGGCCUACCGAGGCGAUGAUGCAUAGCCGACCUGAGAGGAUGACCAGCCACACUGGAACUGAGACACGGUCCAGACUCCUACGGGAGGCAGCAGUGGGGAAUCUUCGGCAAUGGACGAAAGUCUGACCGAGCAACGCCGCGUGAGUGAAGAAGGUUUUCGGAUCGUAAAACUCUGUUGUUAGAGAAGAACAAGGAUGAGAGUAACUGUUCAUCCCUUGACGGUAUCUAACCAGAAAGCCACGGCUAACUACGUGCCAGCCGCCGCCGUAACAC